AUCAGGAAAGCCAAGGCAGUCCUAUGAUUAAAUCCCAAAUCCCAAAUCUGCUGCCUCCUGGUCUGGAUGGGGGCAUCUCCCUGUGCCUGGAAACAUGUCCCAUCAUGUUUGGCCAUGGGGGUUAUUGAUAACUUGCUGGUUUAGCUCUGUUAUUGAUGGCAGGCACUGCUCUGCUGUGACUCCAACCACACACACGCAGCAGGACGAGGCCCGGCUUCAGGUGUCUUGCAAAUACAGAUGAGGGCUGAAAUAGUGGAGACAGCCAGUUUCUCACCAAACCCAGUGCCAUGGGCACCGUCUCAGCAUGGCCAGGUCACCAGGUGUCAUCCCUUUGGCCACCUGCCCGUGCCUCUGUUGCUCCAGCAAGGUUUGGUCUUCUCCUGGAGGCCUCUCCUCCAAAUGGGAUCUGGCCCAUGGGGGACUUUAAUCUUCUCCGGACACCAGCCCUGCACUCCCAUGUGCACUUGAGGUUUGGAGCACUCCCAACACCCCCCAAAAUGACCAGGUAAAGACUUGAGUUCCUGCUGGUAAACCCAGCUGGAGGACCUGGCCACCCAAGGCAAAGGUGGAGGUGGAAUGGAUCUGCUUCCCACAGGGAUUGUACUAAUAGUAACUUUUUACUUCUCCUGAUUUUGUAGAGUGUGUUCAGAGAAUCAUAGGAUGACUAAGGUUGGAAAAUACCUCCAAGAUCAUCAAGUCCAACCUUCCCUAGAUGUGAACAAUACCAUAAUUAUAUUGGUAUAGAAAUGGAAAAUGAACUCUAAAAUAUUUUGAUCUGGAGAAUUUGAGUUUAGUUCUAGUGGGAAUUAAGCAGAAGAAUUUUCAAGUAAUUUAUGUUUGAAAUGCCUUCAUAACUUGUGCUUCAUAAAGACAGAGAGCGACAUAAAAUGACAGUAAAACUCCCAUUUUGGAACUGGACAUUCUCCCUCCUGGCAGUAAAGAGCAAAGGUAAUUUGCUGUGUUUCAGAGAGGUUGUCAGUAGUUACUGUGAUUUCAAAUGAUGUCACAGGAACACUGAGACAUCUCCCUCCUGCGACUCCCAGGCGGUGCUUUGAUGGUGAGUUGGUGAUUUAUGGCUCUGAAUUAGAGUUCGUGGUUGGAAUUAAUGUCCUGGGCAGCAACAACAAAACCUCUGCAGGCUCCCCUGGUUGCCCCAGGCCAGGGGCUGGGCAGGGGCCUGGGCUGCCCUGUCCUGGCCCUGCUGAAAGCUUUGCCCUUUGGAAAUCCAGGCAGGAGCUGCCUCUGUUGAUGUGGGACCUCCUUAUGUAACCCUCUUGCUACUGGAGCACCUCGGUGUAAAUGGAAAAGUUAAGAAGAAAAUACAAGAAGAAGCACAAGAGGGUUUUUUUCCCUCCUUAAGUGCUCUCAUGGGUUUGCUGUCUUUUACUUGUUCCUCUCUUCUCCAAAAUUAAAUCUUUUCCUUUUUUACCCCUCAAAAAGCAUGAAAAGGAAAAUUGCUAAUGAAUCAAAGCACAAGAAAAGUUAAUGGCUGUGUCCAGAACACCGACUUUUCUUUGUGGGUGGGGCAGAACUAGAACUGGAGCCCACGUGGAGUUUCCAUCCAGUGCUGCUCUGCACUGAUCAGCCAUCCCUCCAAUUAAUUAACUGCCUGAAAUUAAUAUGCAGACCAGCAUCACUUUUAAUUUCAUUUUCUGUUCCUCCAAACUGAAUUGCCUUUAAUAAAAACCUUAUAAAAAGCAGAUUUUCUCUUAUCUGCUCCUGCCAACCCUGAGCCACCAUUGGUAUGUUUUACAAUAUUUGGUUUGAUUGAGCCAGAGUUACACCCUGAGUUAAUGAACAAGGCAGAGUGGGAAUAUAAGACAACUUUUCAACCUACAGAUAAUGCAGAACACUGUCAAAUGGGUAAUUCAAGAGAAAGAAGAAAACCUCUCCAAGUUUAACACGAAAAUAAAUGAUGGGUUUAGCACUGCUACGGGAACAUUGCAUUUCCCAGAAGUAAAAGCUUGUUUGGAUCUGGGUCAAGAGAAAAAAAGAUUGUAAAAUUAAGCAACACUUCAAAGUUUUGGUUUAUUAGAAGUGAGUGAAGUUCAUUGUCACCUGGAGCAGACAAGGUUUUCUUAAGGGCUGGGGAAUUUGUGUUUGACUUUAUUCUUAAAUAUUUACAAGAAAACUAACCACUGUGUUUUGAUUCUGUAAAUAUUGACAGCAGGUUUUCAUCUUUCAGUAGGAGGACCAAUAUUUGCUGGAUUGGAUCCGUGACCCUCAGGUUAAGUGCACAGAGAGAUGGGACAGGGAUCUUCUCCCUGCCGUGAGGGUUCAAACUGGGUGAUUCCAGUGGAACUAAAGGGGGGGAAAUGGGGGAAUUGUGGACCUUCUCUAUUAAAAUACACCAGAAGUAUGAGCGAGAGAUGCUCUUCUCCCUCAGGUGAAGUGUCCCAGGUAUCUCCUGACCGUGGUUUUCAGGCUGGUGUGGGUCUGGUUUCUCCUUCUCUCUGCCUUUGCUUUGGUGACAAUGUGCUCUUGAGGGAGCUUGGCUGAUGCUGCACCCCUUGCUGGCCCUGCUGAGCUUCACAUUUGGAGUUUUAUAUCCAUGGAGGAAAGAAAAAAACCUAGAGCUUCUCUCACUUAGCACCCUUUGGGACAGCAGCUGUAGAUGAAGAGCAAGCAAUCAACAUGUCAGGAUAAAAUUAGAUUGCCACGGAGUACAAGGUCUCUGGUUACCUGUACCUGUCUCCUGAAGGGAGCCAUGAGGAUGUCUGAGGCCUGGCUGGGGUUCCUGUGGGGGUACUGAGCCAAGGA